GGCUGUGUAAUAGAAGAGUCCCGUCCCAUUCCACCAUCCCCCCCCCCACACACACACCAGAGAGGAGACUUGCUUUUCCCCUCUUGCCCGCAUCAGCGUCGCUGGGAGAUCUGGUAUUCUCCAAUGUAAUAGGCCUUGCAUCAGUCCUAGAACAUGGAAGACAUCUUAAGAGCAAUAUAUGCUUUUUCUUGGAAUCCUCUUCUGACUUUUCAGUUGUAUCUCUGCAAUCAGGAGGGCUGCACCCCACCCCACCCCACCAUUAUCUGGAUUAACAAUAGAGUCUAUCAUCACCUUGUGAGAUAUAUGAUGCCCAUGAUUUUGUAAAUCAUUACGAAAUAUUGCCUCUGUUUUAAACUAAGAAAACCAUUUUGUUUGCAAGUCUUUUGAGAUUAAAUACCCAAGUAUUUUGUAUUGUAUAUGGGGGGCCCAAUCCAGAUCAGGAAUUUGGCAGGGACAAAAGGUUAGCCUCCCAUGCUCCUUCCAGAUCACCUACAACCCUAUCCUCUGCAGCUGCUGUUUAUCAAAUAAAAGUUAAGCCUGUCAUUGCUAAUGAUGGGCCUAACAUAAUAGGUAGUUUGGCCCUAAAGCUUUAGAUGACUGAUGUACCAGCAAAACAUGCAGCCCUCUUCUUGAAUCAUGCUUGCUUUGCCCUAGCUUGUUUUUGUUUUGAUUGGUUUAAUCUACAGUGCUGAAAUAAAAAUGUCCCCAUCUCUGACAACUUGUAAAAA